GGGGAGGUACGGCCCGCCGGAUAUGACGUAAAUAGUUGUUCUCUGGAGGCGGAGCGAGCUAGGGGAGUGGCUUCGGCCCCAGCUGCGACUAUGGAGGAGGCUGGCUACCGGGUGGUGUUCGAGAAGGGCGGAGUGUUCCUGCACACGAGCGCCAGGGGGCGCCACCAGGACCCAGGCUCCCUCAUCGCUGGCGUACUGCGCCUGCUCGAGAAGGAUAAUGACGUCAUCCUGCAUUGGGCCCCAGUUGAAGAGGCUGGAGACUCCUCCCAUGUGGUCUUCUCCAGGAAGGAGCCUGGUGGGGGAGACCCCUGUGCCUCAGAGGAAGAGCCGACCUUUGACCCCGGCUAUGAGCCUGACUGGGCUGUGAUCAGCACCGUGCGCUCCCGGCCCCCUGAGCCUGGCCCAGCUGCAGGGUCCAGCAGCUCCCAGGCUUCCUGGGCCUUCUCAGUGAGCCUGGGGGAGCUGAAGUCGAUACGGCGCUCCAAACCAGGCCUGAGCUGGGCCUAUCUGGUGCUGGUGACCCAGGCGGGUGGCUCCUUGCCAGCUCUCCACUUCCACCGGGGAGGCACACGGGCCCUGCUGCGGGUCCUCAGCCGCUACCUGCUGCUGGCCAGCUCCCCCCAGGACUCGCGCCUCUACCUCGUCUUCCCUCAUGACUCUUCCGCUCUCUCCAACUCAUUCCAUCAUCUCCAGCUCUUCGAUGACGAUAGUUCCAAUGUGGUGUCUCGUUUUCUCCAGGACCCUUAUGCAGCCACUUUUGGUGGUUUCUCACGGGUGACCAACUUUUUUCGGGGAGCCCUUCAACCUCCCCCUGAUGGUCCCCCCACCAGCCGUCCCGAGGCCCUUGAGGAUGAGGAGCCAGAGCCUGGCUUUGAAGUUAUCUCCUGUGUGCAGCUGGGGCCCCGGCCCAUGGUUUCCCGGGGACAGCCUGUGACAGAGGAUAUCUGGGCCAGCCAUGUGGGCCCAGAUGGGCGACUUCAGGAUGUCGGGGAGCUCAAGGCUCAGAUCUUCUCAGGGGGCUUGUGCCCUUCUUUGAGGAGAGAGGCCUGGAAGUUUCUUCUUGGUUAUCUCAGCUGGGAGGGUUCAGCUGAGGAGCACAAGGUCCACAUCCAUAGGAAAACGGAUGAGUAUUUUCGUAUGAAGCUGCAAUGGAAGUCAGUGAGCCCCGAGCAGGAGAGGAGGAACUCAUUGCUCCAUGGAUAUCGCAGCCUCAUUGAGCGAGAUGUGAGCCGUACUGACCGCAACAACAAGUUCUACGAGGGGCCUGGGAAUCCGGGCCUGGGCUUGCUGAAUGACAUCCUUCUGACCUACUGCAUGUAUCACUUUGACCUUGGUUACGUCCAGGGCAUGAGCGAUCUUCUCUCUCCAAUCCUCUUUGUCACUCAGAAUGAGGUCGAUGCCUUUUGGUGCUUCUGUGGCUUCAUGGAGCUUGUGCACGGAAACUUUGAGGAGAGUCAGGAGACGAUGAAGCGUCAGCUUGGCCAGCUUCUGCUGCUGUUGCGGGUUCUAGAUCCUCCACUCUGUGAUUUCCUCGACUCCCAGGACUCUGGCUCUCUCUGCUUCUGUUUCCGCUGGCUGCUCAUCUGGUUCAAGCGUGAAUUCUCCUUCCCUGAUGUUCUCCGUUUGUGGGAGGUGCUGUGGACUGGGCUCCCAGGCCCCAACCUGCACCUGUUGGUGGCCUGCGCCAUCCUUGACAUGGAGAGGGACGCGCUCAUGCUCUCUGGCUUUGGCUCCAAUGAGAUCCUCAAACACAUUAAUGAACUUACUAUGAAGCUGAGUGUGGAAGAUGUCCUGACCCGGGCCCAGGCAUUGUAUGCGCAGCUGACAGCCUGUCAGCCUUGUCCUCUCCAGGCUCGACCCCCUGUUUCUUUAGCUGAUUCUCACUGGACGUGGACUCCAGGCCGGUCCUGACAUCGUUGUCCUCCCGUGGAUUCUCUCCUGCUGUCGAUGCCCUCCUUCAGCCAUGGAGCCCAGAACUGAGCCCAAGGCUCCAGGUAAAAGGCUCUCCUUCAGGGCACCUCUGAAUUCUCAGACAGUGAGUGAUUGUUCUCCUGCUGUCCCCUGGGAGAUCUGCUUCUCCUGGCCAGUCCAUCUCUGGCCCAGCUGGACUCGCCCUGGGACGCCCAGAAGGAGAGAACCCCGGGAAACAGGAGGCCAAACCCUAGAAAAGGGCUUUGAGCCCUGGAGAAAGGGGAGACGGAAAGGAAGACACCUUGCUGAGUUUUGGAAGGAGUCUUACAAGCUCCCCCAAGCUCAAUCAUCAAAGGACCCGCUCACUUCCCCACACUGAGAAAAUAGCCUGGCCGCAAUCAGACCACAAGCAGCAGGGCAGAUGCUGACAUGCACCGGGUGACUCCCCACUGGGAGUUUCCCAUUUCAGUGAAAUCCGAGGUCUAGUGCAAGGGGAAGAAAGAAAGCUGGGUAACUAAUUAGGAGAAUGGGGAACCAGCAAAGAAGACUUAGAAGGAGGGGUCAGGCAGGGGAACCCAGUGUUACAAGAGCUACAGCAUAAGCUGGACUGUGUCACUCCCCUUCUCAAGAGUCCUCAGGGACUCCCAGGUACUUCUCAGAUAAAAUACAAUUCAGAUCAGCAUUUAAAGCCCUUCACAACCUGGCCAGCUUCCCUUUUGCAGACUCAUUUUAUGUUAGUCCCUUUAACUGAAUGCUCCAUCCAAACUGGAUGACAGUAAUGGCCAUCCACCUCCACUCUCCGUGUCUGGGAUGCCCUGCCUCCUCAGGGUUCAGCUACCUCCUACAAGAAGCCUCUCCAGAUUUCUCCCGUGCUUCCUGCUCUUUCCCUGUCAUCUUGUUCUGACCAGCUCCUCCAGAGCCAUCGUCUUAGCUCCCCACAGCUGGGCGGCUCCAGGAAAGGGAGACAUGUGGUAAUGAUCCUCUCUGCAGACUUACGGGAGCACUGUGACCUCUAGGGCCCUGCUGGCUUUGGCCAUGGCGUCUGUGAAAGAUCGCACUGUAUUAUCUUGGGGAUUUCCUUUCCCCAAAAUAAAUAAUGACAUAUGCCACCCUGCUGGGGAAAAAAAAACAUCGAUGUAUUGCCCAAGUGAAAGAAACGGAAGCUUCUUGAGGACAGGGGCUGCCUCCGUGUUAGUUUUGUGUCCCCAGCACCCGGCAUGGGGUCUGGCUGGAGGGGGUGAAGAGCAAAUGUAACCCCAUAUCAGCCUGAAGAAAAGGAAGAAGUCAGAGAAAACCCAUGCCUUGACAUCCCCCGGCCACAGUGUAGCUUCUGGAGAUGUCAGAGACAGCGGCCCCCAAACAGACAGCCGACUUUGGGUGGACAAGCCCUACCUGAGUCUGAGCAGCUCGCCUGUGGGGUGGGAGUGGGGAGGGGAAGUUCAGGUGCUUCGGCUUGUAAUCAACAGUAGCUGGAGACAGCCCCCAGGGUCCUGCGGGAGAGGCUGGGUGGAGAUGUGCUAGGGGAGAUGGUUGCUGUGGAGACUUGCUGCUACCUUGGGUCCUGAGGGAGUCUGCACCUGGCUGGGGAGGGGGAGGGGAGCUCCCAGGUCAGGCCUGGCGGGGCAGGUGAGUAGGAGGCCCUGACAAGGUGGAGGUGGGGUGAGGGUCCAGGCUGCCCCCCAGCCUAGAAGGCUCUCCCUCGGUCCCUUUGCCUCCGGGCUCAGCUCAUUUUCCAGAGGAAACCUUUUCUGGUCCUGUGCCCAUGGCCCCCUCCUCCCCUGCUGGCUCCUUACCCCUGAGGGUAACUCCCUUUGAUUCACACUGUAUCCAUCCCAUACGACAGAGUUGUUUGUCUUAGACUGUGAGCUGCUUGGGGCAGGGCUUAGCAGUGUCCACUGGACGGUGUCCGCUGGAACAGUGGCUGUUGAUUAAGUCGUCCAACUCCUUGUGACCCCAUGUGGAGUUUUCUUGGCAAAGAUACUGGAGGGGUUUGCCCUUUCCUUCUCCAGCU